AUUGAACGCUGGCGGCAUGCCUUACACAUGCAAGUCGAACGGUAACGGGCCUUCGGGUGCCGACGAGUGGCGAACGGGUGAGUAAUGUAUCGGAACGUACCUUUCAGUGGGUGAUAACGUAGCGAAAGUUACGCUAAUACCGCAUAUUCUGUGAGCAGGAAAGCAGGGGAUCGCAAGACCUUGCGCUGAUUGAGCGGCCGAUAUCAGAUUAGCUAGUUGGUGAGGUAAAGGCUCACCAAGGCGACGAUCUGUAGCGGGUCUGAGAGGAUGAUCCGCCACACUGGAACUGAGACACGGUCCAGACUCCUACGGGAGGCAGCAGUGGGGAAUUUUGGACAAUGGGGGCAACCCUGAUCCAGCCAUGCCGCGUGAGUGAAGAAGGCCUUCGGGUUGUAAAGCUCUUUCGGCCGGGAAGAAAUCGUAUGGGUUAAUACCCUGUGCGGAUGACGGUACCGGCAUAAGAAGCACCGGCUAACUACGUG
rnacentral:rRNA from 1 species